CAAAACAAAAAACCUGAAUUCCCAUCAUUUAUCCAUGUUACAAUCAUUAAGUAAACUAACAACGAGAAACUAGAUAUUGGAAGAAGAAUUAAGGGAGGAAAGAAGACUCAUGAAAUCGUAGCUUCAUAAUCAAACAACACGCUUGUGAAGAGAGGCUGUUCUGAUGUUCCCUUCACAGAGACUGGUGUGUACGAUUUCGGUUUGUAGAUCUGUCGGCAAUUAACCAUCACGGCAAGCGACGAGACCCACUUUCGAAAGAGUCCCGCGGCCACCGACACCGAUUCCUAAUGGAAUAUUUGACUAUCAAGUUUUAGCUUCCGUCAACAAGGACCGCCGACUUAUGUUCACAAAAACCUAUAUAUACAUGCACAUUCCUUCAAAUCUGCCGGUUAAAAGGAAUUUCACUUUGGAGAAGAGUAGACGAGGGGAACCGCCAUCCCCAUAAAAUGUUCGGCUGCCGCAAGAAACCUCUAAAUCAUGGUGCAGACUUCUAAGCACUGACUGGUUGACUUGGGAAGUCCGACUGUCAUUCCACUGUCCUCUAUUAGAGAAAUCUAGCUCUAGUUUACGAACCACCAAAUUUUCGGAGUUAUCUGGAGAUCUAUUGCAUUAGUAGAUCUAACCGCUUCGCCGGAUAGAAAGAUGUGCCUCCAAAUGACCACCAGCCUUUCAUUUUUUAUCGAUGAUGCUCAAGUGCUGAAGUGGGGGAGAGAAU
rnacentral:lncRNA from 1 species